AUUGAACGCUGGCGGCAUGCCUUACACAUGCAAGUCGAACGGUAGAGGGGGGCAACCCCUUCGAGAGUGGCGAACGGGUGAGUAAUGCAUCGGAACGUGCCCAGUCGUGGGGGAUAGACCGGGGAAACCCGGAUUAAUACCGCAUCCGACCUGAGGGUGAAAGCGGGGGACUCGCAAGGGCCUCGCGCGAUUGGAGCGGCCGAUGUCGGAUUAGGUAGUUGGUGGGGUAAAGGCCUACCAAGCCGGCGAUCCGUAGCUGGUCUGAGAGGACGACCAGCCACACUGGGACUGAGACACGGCCCAGACUCCUACGGGAGGCAGCAGUGGGGAAUUUUGGACAAUGGGGGCAACCCUGAUCCAGCCAUGCCGCGUGCGGGAAGAAGGCCUUCGGGUUGUAAACCGCUUUUGUCAGGGAAGAAAUGUCCUGGGCUAAUACCCUGGGGGGAUGACGGUACCUGAAGAGUAAGCACCGGCUAACUACGUGCCAGCCGCCGCCGUAA
rnacentral:rRNA from 1 species